AAAGCCUAAUGAUUUCCUGUGAUAGGAAUGCUCUGUCUUUAUUAAACAGGCUAAUGGUGUCAUCAAGAUUGGAUUUCAUUCUGCUGUUCCUGAACUAUUUAAUAAUUCCAAAUGAAUAAACUUCUGAGUUUUAAUCCAUCCUUCAAGACCCAGCUGAACUUAUAUAUACCUGAUUGAAUACUUCUGGACGAUGAAGAUAAGUGAACUGCUGAUAAAGUGCAAGAUCAUGGAUAAGUCAAGAGAAGACUUCUUCAAAAGCUUUAUUCUAUAAAAUCCUAUUUACAUGACCUUCUAGAAAAUGUACAUGUUGUAUUUGGAUAGAAAACUCAUUAAUGGUGACACAAGGAUGGAUGAGUGUGCUAUCCAAUGAAGCAAAAAUACUUAACUCUGUUGAAGAAUUGGAGUGUUGCUAGCGGUCAUCGACUGGAGAGUAUUAUGUCAUAAAGAAUUACUUCCACGUUCCUGUUAU